rnacentral:rRNA from 1 species
AUUGAACGCUGGCGGCAGGCCUAACACAUGCAAGUCGAGCGAGCGGCGGACGGGUGAGUACUGUAUGGGGACUGCCCGAUAGAGGGGGAUAACUACUGGAAACGGUAUCUAAUACCGCAUACUAUCCGAUACCCCAUAGGGGGUUAGCUAGUGGGUGAGGUAAUGGCUCACCUAGGCGACUAUCCCUAGCUGGUCUGAGAGGAUGAUCAGCCACACUGGGACGGAGACACGGCCCAGACUCCUACGGAGGCAGCAGGGGGGAAUAUUGGACAAUGGGCGAAAGCCUGAUGCAGCCAUGCCGCGUGUAUGAAGAAGGCCCUAGGGUUGUAAAGUACUUUCAGUCGGGAGGCGUUACCGACAGAAGAAGCACCGGCUAACUCCGUGCCAGCAGCCGCGGUAAUUC